AAUGCUUAGGAAUCUGCCUAUUAGUGGGGGACAACAUUCCGAAAGGAAUGCUAAUACCGCAUACGCCCUACGGGGGAAAGCAGGGGAUCUUCGGACCUUGCGCUAAUAGAUGAGCCUAAGUCAGAUUAGCUAGUUGGUGGGGUAAAGGCCUACCAAGGCGACGAUCUGUAGCGGGUCUGAGAGGAUGAUCCGCCACACUGGGACUGAGACACGGCCCAGACUCCUACGGGAGGCAGCAGUGGGGAAUUUUGGACAAUGGGCGCAAGCCUGUUCCAGCAAUGCCGCGUGCAGGAUGAAGGCCUUCGGGUUGUAAACUGCUUUUGUACGGAACGAAAAGCCCUGGGUUAAUACCCUGGGGUCAUGACGGUACCGUAAGAAUAAGCACCGGCUAACUACGUGCCAGCAGCCGCGGUAAUACGUAGGGUGCGAGCGUUAAUCGGGAUUACUGGGCGUAAAGCGUGCGCAGGCGGUUUUGUAAGACAGAGGUGAAAUCCCCGGGCUCAACCUGGGAACUGCCUUUGUGACUGCAAGGCUAGAGUACGGCAGAGGGGGAUGGAAUUCCGCGUGUAGCAGUGAAAUGCGUAGAUAUGCGGAGG
rnacentral:rRNA from 1 species